rnacentral:rRNA from 1 species
CCUACGGGAGGCAGCAGUGGGGAAUUUUGGACAAUGGGCGCAAGCCUGAUCCAGCAAUGCCGCGUGAGUGAAGAAGGCCUUCGGGUUGUAAAGCUCUUUUGUCAGGGAAGAAACGGUGAAGGCUAAUAUCUUUUGCUAAUGACGGUACCUGAAGAAUAAGCACCGGCUAACUACGUGCCAGCAGCCGCGGUAAUACGUAGGGUGCAAGCGUUAAUCGGAAUUACUGGGCGUAAAGCGUGCGCAGGCGGUUUUGUAAGUUUGUCGUGAAAUCCCCGGGCUCAACCUGGGAAUGGCGAUGAAGACUGCAAGGCUAGAAUCUGGCAGAGGGGGGUAGAAUUCCACGUGUAGCAGUGAAAUGCGUAGAGAUGUGGAGGAACACCGAUGGCGAAGGCAGCCCCCUGGGUCAAGAUUGACGCUCAUGCACGAAAGCGUGGGGAGCAAACAGGAUUAGAUACCCUGGUAGUCCACGCCCUAAACGAUGUCUACUAGUUGUCGGGUUUUAAUUAACUUGGUAACGCAGCUAACGCGUGAAGUAGACCGCCUGGGGAUACGGUCGCAAGNUUAAAACUNAAUGAGUGACGNGNGAGAGNGCGAGACGACGACGAGGAGGAGG